UACAGAGGUCUCAAGCGUUGUUCGGAUUCAUUGGGCGUAAAGGGUGCGUAGGUGGCGCCGUAAGUCGGGUGUGAAAUUUUGGAGCUUAACUCCGAAACUGCAUUCGAUACUGGCGUGCUUGAGGACUGGAGAGGAGACUGGAAUUCAUGGUGUAGCAGUGAAAUGCGUAGAGAUCAUGAGGAAGACCAGUGGCGAAGGCGGGUCUCUGGACAGUUCCUGACACUGAGACACGAAGGCCAGGGGAGCAAACGGG
rnacentral:rRNA from 1 species